rnacentral:lncRNA from 1 species
GAAUUCUUUGAGUGCAUGGAAUCUCCUGAUUUUUUUUUUUUUUUUUUUUACCAUAUAUCCAGGUUCUACUUGCUGGGUAAACAUCAGGCAUAAAAUUAGAUUAAAAUAAAUAUGGGUUUAGGAUUAUUAUGUUUUUAAUUUAUUGACCCAGUAGAUAAGUUUCCAAUUUCCUCACAGUAGCCUCCUUCUGAUUUCAAGACAGAGUGUAGAGAUUCUUUUGAAUAUAGUGGAAAGCAAGAAGGAGUUCCACCAGCUGACAGUAGAGAUUACUAUUUGACUGAAACUCUUUGACAUUUCGAAACAGGAAGCUGUGGAUGAACCUCUCUGCGUGUCAUAUUAUCACUUGAGGUUCAACAGAGAAGGCAGUUACUGAAGACAAAUCCAGACUGGAUGACCUUGAGAAACAAAAUUAUCAGUGAUCCGAAGGGAUACAUUGAAGGGCCAUUGACUGGAAUGUGUCACGUGACUCUAACAAGUGGGAGGGUGAAUGUACCCUUACUGAAUUCAGUUCUCCAGGAAAAAAAAAGCACCGUACAUUGGUGAGUGCUAGUAACGCAUAACUCCAGACUUUCUUUAUUAUGUGGCCUGGGGGUUGACCCCCUCCCCUCUUAUAGAUGCCAGAUAUUGAUGAUCUGCCAUUGAUGAAAAAACUCAUAUGAAGGGCAUUCUCUUUUUAUAGCUUCUGCUUAUUUCUAGCUCUCAAAUUUGGGAAUAGUAGUGGAUAUUUUAGGUUUGUGUUUAGAAAUUGCACUUUUUUUUUC